ACCGCGGUAGCCCAGUUGGUUAGGGCCUUAGGUUAGGGCGUCGGCAGUACUGAUGCCGAAGGUCGCAGGUUCAAAUCCUGCCUGCGGUG